GGAGUAGUGUCUGAGUGGUUGAAGGUAUUCGUCUCGAAAACGGAUGUACCGUGAGGUACCGGGGGUUCGAAUCCCUCCUACUCCG
rnacentral:tRNA from 1 species